UGGGGAAUAUUGGGCAAUGGGGCGAAAGCCUGACCCAGCAACGCCGCGUGAAGGAAGAAGGUCUUCGGAUUGUAAACUUCUUUUAUGAGGGACGAAGGACGUGACGGUACCUCAUGAAUAAGCCACGGCUAACUACGUGCCAGCAGCCGCGGUAAUACGUAGGUGGCAAGCGUUAUCCGGAUUUACUGGGUGUAAAGGGCGCGUAGGCGGGGAUGCAAGUCAGGUGUGAAAUCUAUGGGCUUAACUCAUAAACUGCACUUGAAACUGUGUCUCUUGAGUGCUGGAGAGGUAGAUGGAAUUCCUUGUGUAG
rnacentral:rRNA from 1 species